rnacentral:rRNA from 1 species
ACGGGAGGCAGCAGUGAGGAAUAUUGGUCAAUGGAGGCAACUCUGAACCAGCCAAGUCGCGUGAAGGAAGAAGGCCCUACGGGUCGUAAACUUCUUUUGCAGGGGGAUAAAGUCGGCCACGCGUGGCCGUUUGCAGGUACCCUGUGAAUAAGCAUCGGCUAACUCCGUGCCAGCAGCCGCGGUAAUACGGAGGAUGCGAGCGUUAUCCGGAUUUAUUGGGUUUAAAGGGUGCGCAGGCGGCACGUUAAGUCAGCGGUGAAAUGUCGGGGCUCAACCCGGGCACUGCCGUUGAAACUGGCGAGCUUGAGUACGGAUGAAGUCGGCGGAAUGUGAUGUGUAGCGGUGAAAUGCUUAGAUAUGUCACAGAACACCGAUUGCGAAGGCAGCUGACUAAUCCGCAACUGACGCUCAGGCACGAAAGCGUGGGGAUCGAACAGGAUUAGAUACCCUGGUA